GCCAGGCGUGGUGGUGCAUGCCUGUAAUCCCAGCUACUUGGGAGGCUGAGGCAGGAGAAUUGCUUGAACCCAGGAGGCAGAGGUUGCAGUGAGCCGAGAUUGCACCACUGCACUCCAGCCUGGGCAACAGAGUGAGACUCUGUCUCAA
rfam:Homo sapiens chromosome 2, GRCh38 reference primary assembly.